rnacentral:rRNA from 1 species
UACGUAGGGAGCAAGCGUUGUUCGGAUUUACUGGGCGUAAAGGGCGCGUAGGCGGCGCGGUAAGUCACUUGUGAAAUCUCUGAGCUUAACUCAGAACGGCCAAGUGAUACUGCAGUGCUAGAGUGCAGAAAGGGCAAUCGGAAUUCUUGGUGUAGCGGUGAAAUGCGUAGAUAUCAAGAGGAACACCUGAGGCGAAGGCGGGUAGCUGGGCCAACACUGACGCUGAUGUGCGAAAGCUAGGGGAGCAAACGGG